rnacentral:lncRNA from 1 species
AUAUUGGUGUGGUAUCGAUGCGAGCGCAUGCAUCAGUCAUUACCUGUAGUGGCCAUAUUCGCACUGACAUGACGCUGUUAUCUCGAGCAGUUGCGAAUACCAGUCAAUAUAGUACUAAAAAUUUCGGUGAAUCUUUAAUCCAGGAGCAAUUUGCAUCGGUCUAUCAACAUGAAGGUGGCUCACUUUUUCUUCUAGCUUGCCAACCACUGCACCUGGUACAUGCAAGGGAUGAUCCCGCUGGUCCUCGUACGUCGGCCACUCCCUGCUGCCCGGAAAAUGACGUCGCCGCUAGACCGUCCCUCGGCAGACGGUGUUUCUUCUCCCUGCUAGCACUCACCGCGCUCUCCUGGUGGACCUUCGCUGCGUAACCUGCAAUAACUUGCCUUAUCAACCUCUGCAUCUGGUACAUGCAACGAACGAUCUCGCCGGUUCUUUUGUGUACAUCGUCUAGUCUUUGCUUUAUGAACUUCCUCGGUCUAACAUCCUUCAGACGACUUUUCGACCCUCAAUCCGAUUCAGCGGAUGCUAUGUCUGAGCCCGCACCGCCUUCCAUGUCGAGCCAGUGCCUCCAGGGGGCGAGGUGAUCCUCCAGUCCUGUCCUGUGGCCAAGGUGUCCCUUCGUCGCCGACUCUCCUUCGGGUUCCCACCUCUUGCUCGCCUUCUGCGGAAUGUAUCGUGCGUGGAAGCCCAUCGCUGCGGCCUGCUCUUCUCGAUCUUCACUCCGUGUAAGGACUUUGUUUCGUGUUGCUGUUCAUCAUCGCUCCGCUGCGACCACUAAUGGAUGAAAAGUGGGCGGUGCACUGCCCCAGCGAGACUAAUGCCAGCAAUCUCUGGAUCUGCCCAGGGCUACCAGCUGUUCAUAAAAUUCUGUGCAACUCAUUUGUGCCUGUGAUUUAUAGCCUAGCAAUGCACUGAGCUGUUGGAUGAAUAAUCCAAUCGUUUGCAGAAUUUACCAGUUUAAAAAUAAUAGUAUGCUGUGCUAUACGGUGCACCUCGUAUUUUUAGCGACUAUGUCAAAUAUAUUGGACCAAUGUCGUCGAAUAGCAUCAAUGUAACGUUUGGUACAACAUUUCACCAUCAUGCUAAUGUUUCGCCACCAUAUACAAUCAGUGGGAUGGAUCGACCCAUCCACAUGUUUUUGUUGGCCAUGA